CGGGAGGCAGCAGUGGGGAAUAUUGGACAAUGGGGGAAAGCCUGAUCCAGCCAUGCCGCGUGUGUGAAGAAGGUCUUCGGAUUGUAAAGCACUUUAAGUUGGGAGGUAGGGUUGUAGAUUAAAUCUCUGCAAUUUUAACGUUACCGACGAAUAAGCACCGGCUAACUCUGUGCCAGCAGCCGCGGUAAU
rnacentral:rRNA from 1 species